rnacentral:rRNA from 1 species
UACGUAGGGUGCAAGCGUUGUCCGGAAUUAUUGGGCGUAAAAGAGCUCGUAGGCGGUUUGUCGCGUCUGCUGUGAAAUCCCGAGGCUCAACCUCGGGCCUGCAGUGGGUACGGGCAGACUAGAGUGCGGUAGGGGAGAUUGGAAUUCCUGGUGUAGCGGUGAAAUGCGCAGAUAUCAGGAGGAACACCGGUGGCGAAGGCGGGGUCUCUGGGCCGAUACUGACGCUGAGGAGCGAAAGCGUGGGGAGCGAACAGG